CUUUGAUCAGUAUAGUCAAGUCUACCAGGUACUAAUGUUUAACUAACGUUUUCAAGUUUACUAUUAUUGAGAUUUUUUUUUAUUAAAGGAGAAUUAGAGUCACAGCCAAGGAAUGUCUACGUGGCAGAGAUGUUCCUACAAUGGAGCCUGAGUCACAAGUUACUGGCAAGUCAAAUAUAAUCCAGUAGACAGAGCCCAGAAACUUCAGGAGAAGUUAGUGAGCAUGAGCAGAAUGAUGAAGAAUGUUUGUUCAAGUAACAUGAAGCUGUAUGAUUAAUAACAAGGAGUUGGGUAAUCUUUUAUGCAAAGUCAUUAACUGAAAAUACAAUCAACAGGAUGAAAUAAAUGUAAUUAAAUUUGAAAAAAGUUACUAGAACUGAUCCUUACUUAUAGAAUGCCCUCCUAUGCCACAUUCGACGAUGCUUGACUGUACCAUAUGUGUACUUGUACCUCAUCCUUUAAGAUUGUAAACUCUUUUGGACAGGGUUCUCUUUUAUCUACUCCUCCAGGGUUAAGUUAGAAUUAUUUGUUUGUCUUGUUUUACCUAUGGUUCCAUGCCACCAAAUUUUGGAACUAUAUAAAUAAUUGUAAUUGUAGUUGAGCAUCAGCAUAAGUAAAAUGCAGAAGAGGUGUAGUACAUUGUUAAAUAUGAUUUCAAGGCAAAUGGGAUCAAGGAAAAACAUUGCCCAUUGAAGGAACACUUCAAGCAUCAUAACUGCUACAUCUCACUGUAGUGGUUAUGGCACCAGGACUUUGCUGGUCCCUCCUCCCAUAGUGAGGGGUUGAACCAUUUUUAAAUGGUUUGACUUUUUACAUGGGGUUCUUCAGGUAACACUCUCCUACUCCUCUAUUUAUCAUGCAAAGGUGAAAGCUCUUAUGCAGGAACUUCUGUUAUCACCGAUGGGCUUAGCUCAAUAGUGAG